rnacentral:rRNA from 1 species
GACGAACGCUGGCGGCGUGCUUAACACAUGCAAGUCGAACGGAAAGGCCCUGCUUUUGUGGGGUGCUCGAGUGGCGAACGGGUGAGUAACACGUGAGUAACCUGCCCUUGACUUUGGGAUAACUUCAGGAAACUGGGGCUAAUACCGGAUAGGAGCUCCUGCUGCAUGGUGGGGGUUGGAAAGUUUCGGCGGUUGGGGAUGGACUCGCGGCUUAUCAGCUUGUUGGUGGGGUAGUGGCUUACCAAGGCUUUGACGGGUAGCCGGCCUGGGAGGGUGACCGGCGACAUUGGGACUGCGAUACGGCCCAGACUCCUACGGGAGGCAGCAGUGGGGAAUAUUGCACAAUGGGCGGAAGCCUGAUGCAGCAACGCCGCGUGCGGGAUGACGGCCUUCGGGUUGUAAACCGCUUUCGCCUGUGACGAAGCGUGAGUGACGGUAAUGGGUAAAGAAGCACCGGCUAACUACGUG